rnacentral:rRNA from 1 species
UACGGGGGGGGCAAGCGUUGUUCGGAAUUACUGGGCGUAAAGGGCUCGUAGGCGGCCAACUAAGUCGGACGUGAAAUCCCUCGACUUAACCGAGGAACUGCGUCCGAUACUGGAUGGCUUGAGUUUGGGAGAGGGAUGCGGAAUUCCAGGUGUAGCGGUGAAAUGCGUAGAUAUCUGGAGGAACACCGGUGGCGAAGGCGGAUCUCUGGGCCAUUACUGACGCUGAGGAGCGAAAGCGUGGGGAGCGAACAGG